GAAUCAUCUGCUCUGCUGGUCAAGCCACAAAACCAAAUAAGCUGCGCAAUGACUUCAGAGGCAAGCUGGCGUCUAGGCAGCCCUCGGGGGAGGUGGCUUGCUAGUGGGGGUCUGUGGAGAGGACCGUCUGCAGCAACAGGGCUGACUCUCACCCUGGCCCCAGCCCAGCACAUUACACUGCUCUCCUGACCCCAACAUAUGGCCUCUGGGACCCACCUCCAACCUUCUCUGACAGCUGUUACUGGUGACUAAUUGUCAUUUGGUCAGACAUCAGACUCCAGGAGAAUUAAAGGUGGAGUCAACCAUUCUGGAGAAAGAUAGUUGAUUGUUGAGUCUCAUUCCCAGGACGUCAAAAAUUUUAAGACUGGGAGCACAAACACCACCGGCUGUGUUGUGUGGCUCGCUCCAAGCAACUUUGUUUUCCAUUUACCAUCACCCAAAGUGUCUGUAUGAAGUGUCUGUAAAAAUGUAUCAACUGAAAAUGUAAAUAAUAAGACAUCAUGGUACCACCCACACUGUUUGAUUUGCACAUGAACCCUGAGAAGUGCAGCAGCUCCACAGCUUAACACCAACUAUGUUGCCAAAAUAACAAAGCAGGAACUUGCGGAGAACCACAUCAAUUAGAGAGAAGUUGAUUCCGUGGAGGAUUCAAUCCAACAGCUGGGAUGCACCAAUCAAGCAGAGGUUUUAUGUUCAGGUUGUAACUUCUGCACUGACUUGAGAGAUGAGAGAUGCAUGCACCUAAAAACAUCCUGGUUUUCGAGGUUUGUCCUUUUGCAUGCCACUUACUGCAUGUCGAGAGCUGAUGGAGUCUGUAGAUAAUGUAGCAGAGUAAAGUCCAAAACAAACAGGCAUGUCCCUUCCACUGAGUCUGACUCAGAGCCUGCCUGUAAGAGCUAAAGCCAAUGUCAACACAACCCAGCUCAGACUUAUAUUGAAGGUUAACAAGCAAACUGAUGUUCUGAAACUCAAAGAGGCUGGAAAUAGUGCUGACUUAAUUGCUUUGUGCUUUGCUUGUAAAGUAAGUUUGUGACAGAUGAGGUCAAACAUUUGUCA